AGUGGCAGACGGGUGAGUAACGUGUGGGAACGUGCCCUUCAGUUGGAAAUAACCCAGGGAAACUUGGGCUAAUACCGGAUACGUGCGAGAGCAGAAAGAUUUAUCGCUGAAGGAUCGGCCCGCGUCUGAUUAGCUAGUUGGUGAGGUAAUGGCUCACCAAGGCGACGAUCAGUAGCUGGUCUGAGAGGAUGAUCAGCCACAUUGGGACUGAGACACGGCCCAAACUCCUACGGGAGGCAGCAGUGGGGAAUAUUGGACAAUGGGCGCAAGCCUGAUCCAGCCAUGCCGCGUGAGUGAUGAAGGCCUUAGGGUUGUAAAGCUCUUUCGUCCGGGACGAUAAUGACGGUACCGGAAGAAGAAGCCCCGGCUAGUUCGUGC
rnacentral:rRNA from 1 species